GAUUAACGCUAGCGGCAGGCCUAACACAUGCAAGUCGAGGGGCAGCACGGGGUAGCAAUACUCUGGUGGCGACCGGCGCACGGGUGAGUAACGCGUAUGCAACCUACCUUUAACAGGAAGAUAGCCCCGAGAAAUCGGGAUUAAUACUCCAUAACAAUUGAGAGUGGCAUCACUUUUUAUUUAAAGCUUUGGCGGUUAGAGAUGGGCAUGCGUGACAUUAGUUAGUUGGUGAGGUAACGGCUCACCAAGACUACGAUGUCUAGGGGUUCUGAGAGGAUUAACCCCCACACUGGUACUGAGACACGGACCAGACUCCUACGGGAGGCAG
rnacentral:rRNA from 1 species